rnacentral:lncRNA from 1 species
GCCAAGAUGUGCCCAAGAUGUGUGUGUCUUGCACGCUUAGGAAUCAGCCAAGAGGAAGCUUUGAGGGGGCACAGCCAGACUGUGGGGGCGUCUUCCUCCACACCCCACUGGAUCCGGGGCACGGACACUCUAGGGCCAGAACCAGGCCCUGGCUUGGAGCUCGCUUCCUUAACCACAGUCUAGCUCCUUCCGCCAUCUUCCACGUCUCCAGAACUGGCGGUUCCGUCCCCCCCACUGCUCAGCCAGAACUUUUCUCCCAGAUGCAAUCCAUUAACAAGACCCGCUCCUGCCCCUGUGACAGCAUCUAGAAUCCUGCCAGCUCCAGGGGCCCCAUCUGGACAAGGCCAGCCUUGACCUCCCUCUUUCUGCCCCCAACAGUCUAUUUCCCUCACAGCCGCCAGAGGGUACCUGUGGACACCCAAGUGCGGUCCCUCCUGCCUCCGUUGGAGACUUCCAUGGCUCCCACCUCGGUCACAGCAAAAGCCAGAGUUGUCCCCCCCAGGAGGCCCUGCUCUCUGCCCUGCGCCCUCACAUUCUCCACUGCCGUCUUUCCCCCGCUGCUCCGCAGGCCAGGCCUCCACUCCACCCAGACAGUCCAGCUCAGGACCUUCGCACAGGCUGUUCCUGCCACAUCCCUCUUCACCUCCUCCAUGUCUCCACCAUCACCUCCUCCAUGUCUCCACCAUCACCUCCUCAGUCAGAGCGUCUCUGAAACUCCUCCUCCUUGCUCUCUCCUGCUCUCUCCUCCUGCAGCCCUGUCGCCUUUGAACACAGUUUCUCCUCCACGCAGGAACAGGCGCCUGAGCAGGACCUUGGUGACGUCUGUUGAAUGGAUGUCUUGGUAAUUGCCAUGUCCCCAGUGAGUCAGGGAGCAGAAGAGACACAAGACCUGCCACACAGCUACAGCAGCACACUGUCGAGUUUCCAGGGCUGAGAACUGGAAGCACCCAGCAGAAGAGGGAAGCCGGGGAGAGCUGGGCACAGCUGCGUGGGCCUGAGCAGGAGGCUGAGGCGGGAGGAUCGCUUGCCCAGAAGUCCCAAGCAAACCUGGGCAGCGCAAUGAGACCCAGUCUCUCUCUCUCUCUCUCUCUUUCCCUAAAUUUUUUAGACGUCUAUGGACCUUUCUUUAUUUAUUCAUUUGUUUUUCUGUGGUGCUCAGAAUCGAGCCCAGGGCCUCACACGUGCUAGGCGAGCACUUACCACGGAGCCAACCAACAAGCCAGAAAGGCCCCGGGCUCCGCCCGCAGGGAGGGGGUCCUACCGCAGUGUCCUGCUGGGACCCUGGAGGUUCCGUAAAAUCACAUGGUGGCAGAACUUCUCCCGACUCAAGUGUGGCAGAGUCCUCGAAGGUUCUGGGCAUGUGCAUGGGGGAUACGGGUAGCAGGAGGGAAAAGAGAAUGUGGCUGUCCAGGGGAGAGGACUUUGGCCUGGAUUAGAGCCAGCGCCAGGGCCAGGUGGGAAAGGACAGCUCAGGACUGGAGUCCCCAGCAUGGCAGCAAGAACAAAAGCCAGACCUGGGGGGACAGCUUGGAAAGUGUCUCACAAUAGGACUGAGAAGAAGAGGACUCAGAGGAAUGCAGUGUCCCUAGGCCAAGGAGGAAGUGUGUAAAGGUGACAGCUGUUACAAUGAAGUCCAGGACAGUGACAACCGAAAAGUCGACUGAUUUGGCAGUUGGCGUCCUGGUGUGAUCCUGGGCCACCUCAGGAGUGAACAGGAGAGAAGCAACAAUCAUGGCACCCAGGACAUGGGGAGCCACACACGGGCCAUUGGAAGUCACAGGUUUUUCCUCAGGGCUGAGGACUGAACUGGGGUGCUCUACCAGGGAGCCUCACCCGGCCCUUUUCAUUUUAUUUUUAAGACAGGGGGGUCUCUUGCCAAGGCUGACCUCAAACUUUUUGAUCCUCCUGCCUCAGCCUCCCGAGUUGCAGGUGUGUGCCAAGGUGCUUGGCUUAAUUUGCAGAAUUUUUAGCAAAUACAUUAAGAAGAAAAAAAAAAAAGACACAAGUAAAAAUCUUUUGAAGAAAAUUUUUUUGGUACCAGGGAUUGAACCCAGGGACACUUCACCACUGAGCCAUAUCCCCAGCCCUUUUUAAUAUUUUAUUUAAAGACAGGGUCUUGCUGAGUUGCUUAGGGCCUCCCUAAAUUGCUGAGGCUGGCCUUGAACUUGCCAUCCUCCUGCCUCAGCCUCUCAAGCUUCUGGGAUUACAAACAGCGCCUGGCUGCCAGCUGAACAUCCUCGUAGUACAAUUCAUUUAACCCAAUAUAUCCAAAACAGCAUAGCUUCAACACGUAAUCAAGAUAAAAAUUAUUAACUGAGCUGUCUCAUAGUUCAUUUUUUUUGGUGCUAUCUUCAAAACUGGUGUGAUUUUUAUUCUUGCAACACAUCUCAGUUUAGAUGAGCAGUGUUUCAGCUGCUCAGUCACCACACGUGACCAGGGACAACCUCACUGGAAAGUGCAGAUCUUCAACAUGACCCCAUCCUGUCCUUGAAUGACACACCUCUCUUCUUCCUAAUCCCAGCUCUAUCCAGGACUGAGCCACGUCCCCAGCCUUUUUUUUUUUUUCCUUUCCAAUUUUGAGGCAGAGUGUCACUAAAUUGCUCAGAGCCUCACUAAAGUUGCUGAGGCUGGCCUGGAAUUCGAGAUCCUCCUGCCUCAGCCUCCCAAGCUGCUGGGAUUACAGGCAAGCACCCCUAUGCCUAGCUCAUUGUGAAUUUUUGCAUUCAUUUCAGUUUGUAAAAAUAAUGCACUAAGACAUUAUUUCAUCUUCUUCAUAGAAACUCGUACGCCAGUGCUCAUGGCAGUAGUUUCCCUCAGUCCUCAGUCGGCAACUCCACCACGGGUCGGUAACACAGUGGGGCCUAUCCAUCUCGUGUGUUGGUCCCCAGUAAAGGAAAAGGGAAAGAAGCCAGUCCCAAGCCGCAUGGUAUGACUCCAUUUAUACACGGAGACAGACGAGUCCCUGCACUGAGAGAGAAACAGGCUUGGGGCUUCUUUUUGGGGAGAUGGAAUGUUCUAGAAUGGAUUGUGGGCCAGGUGGUGAUCCCUGGAACCCCAUCUACUCCAGAGCCCAGGAGUUUGAGACCAACCUGGCCCAUCCAGAGACCCUGUGUGUCAAAAAAAUGAAUGAAAUAAGUGGUGAUGGCUGUUCAAGGCCAUGGGCAUUUUUUAAAUAUUCAAUUAUAUUUAAUAAGUCAACUGCACGACGUGGGGAUUGUAUCUCAAUAAACCUUUUAUUUAAAAAUAUUUAACCCUCAUGGCCAAGCGUUCGUUUUGUUUUGGGGCCCUGUGGCCUCCCUGUCCUGGCACUGCUGUCCCUCCCACACCUGAGAUGGGGGAAGGUCUCAGGGUAGAGGAGGCGGGGAAGCUGGCCAGGGGGGUCUAGGAGAUGCCCUCCGCACCCCUUUUCCUGCAGUUUCCCAGAAUUGGAAGAGGAUGCGUCUUGCCGUGGUUUCUCCAGGGCUGAUCCAAGCGCCUGGCCCGCGUGUGUCCUUUCAGACAGCCUGACUCAGUUUGCCCACCGUGCGCAUGGGCCCUGUGCGCGUGACCCUCCACUGUCCCCUGAGUGAGUCACGCAGCCUGGAAGCCCCCUCCCUGGGGACGCAGGGCUGGCCAUUGAUGGUGACUUUUCAUAGACGUGGCGGAAGCAGGCUGGCGCCUCCCAGGCCCACGCCAGGCUCCUAGGGGCAGCCCAGGAGGGCCUCCCCGCACAGCCCACCCCAGCGAGGGCCAGGGGGCUGGGCCUGGGGGGUGGGGAGCUGUUCUCAAAGAGCCUUUGUAGGAGCGGCUGGGGGGGCUGUGGGGGACCCCGCCCUGAGUGACUCACCCUCAUUGCUGGGCGGUGACUCAUGCCCAGCCCCCACCCGCCCGCCCAGCAGCAGGUGCUGCCAGCUCCAGCCUCCGGUCGGGGCCUCAGCAGCCGCUCAUGCCACCCUAACCUGGGCCUGGGACCCGCACCCACUUCGGGGUGCCCCCCUUACCCUGGCCGUCUUGCCCUCUUGGGUAUGGACAGCGGAGGAAACCUCUUGCACCCUGUCCCUUGGGGCGGCCGACGUGGGUACUGGGGUGUGCCAGCCCCCCUGCACCCACCGAGCCCCAGGGUGCUCUAACUAGUCCCUUAGCCGACGGCUUCGUGAGAUCGCGGGCGAAGCGCCAAGACAGGUGAUCCACAGGGGCACCAUCAGGUGGCGAUCCCAGCCGCCUCGUGGAGGCACCAGUAAGGGGCACCGCCUGCUGCCAGGAUGCCUCCAUUUUACUGAUGGGCAAACUGAGGCUCCAGCCCUUGGUCCGCCGACCUCGAGAGGCUGAGCGUGACUCGAACCCAGAGCCCGGGCCUGCUCGCCGCCUCCCCCCGGCCCUGGCUACCGCUCGAGGUCCGGGCGCCCCCGCCGCCGGGCCCCUCCUGCCGCCACCGAGGCCGGCCCGGGCU